rnacentral:misc_RNA from 1 species
AAAAUACGAAAGGUAAUAUGAAUUGCAGAAACGAAUCAUCAACUUUUUGAACGCAACUUGCACUCUUUGGGUUAAAAUGCACAAGAGUGUGUCUGUUUGAGUAUCAUAAAAAUUAUCUAUCCUACUUAAGUUUUGUUAUUCAAAAGUAGGGGCGUUGAGUUUUGACUUUUUCAUAAAGUUGCAACUCUAAAUACAUUGAAAAUAAGCUUUUAAACAACAUUGUUUUGUUAGUUAAUUAAAGUGGUUUUGAAUAUUUAUUUAUUAUAUUAAACUUUAAUUUGUUGUAAAGCUUUGUUUUCUGUUAAUAAAUUAACCCUCCAAAGUUAAUUAACUUAUUUUUUUUUUUCAUGAUCUCAAAUUAGACAAGAUUACCCGCUGAACUUAAGC